rnacentral:rRNA from 1 species
CCGUAAGGUGGUACCAGAAUAAGGGCUGGGCAAGACCGGUGCCAGCCGCCGCGGUAAUACGGCAGCCCAAGUGAUGGCCGAUCUUAUUGGGCCUAAAGCGUCCGUAGCUGGCCGCGCAAGUCCAUCGGGAAAUCCACCUGCUCAACAGGUGGGCGCCCGGUAGAAACUGCGUGGCUUGGGACCGGAAGGCGCGACGGGUACGUCCGGGGUAGGAGUGAAAUCCCGUAAUCCUGGACGGACCGCCGAUGGCGAAAGCACGUCGCGAGGACGGAUCCGACAGUGAGGGACGAAAGCCAGGGUCUCGAACCGGAUUAGAUACCCGGGUAGUCCUGGCCGUAAACAAUGUCUGCUAGGUGUGGCUCCCACUACGAGUGGGUGCUGUGCCGUAGGGAAGCCGCUAAGCAGACCGCCUGGGAAGUACGUCCGCAAGGAUGAAACUUAAAGGAAUUGGCGGGGGAGCACUACAACCGGAGGAGCCUGCGGUUUAAUUGGACUCAACGCCGGACAUCUCACCAGCAUCGACUGUAAUAAUGACGACCAGGUUGAUGACCUUGUCCGAGUUUCAGAGA